CCACCAUUACGCCAUCAUUCGGCAAAUUGUUUUUGUUUUAAUUUGUGCAACACACUCACACAUUUGCAUUUGACAAUAUUGAACUACAUUUUAACAGUUCGACAAAUAGUUACAUUUUGUUGGUAUUUGUGAGCGACAAUCUAGCGUUGAGUGUAGAAAAAAUCGCCGAUUGCCGUCGAAGGAAAACAAUCGAGUAAAGCUGAAAUUAUAUUUACAAAACAGCAAUUCACAUCAAAAAAAUGACAACUGCGAUCGACCCAGAACUGCGCACCAAAAUCGAUGCCGCUUGCCGGAUGGAGGAGGAAUUCACCAAACU